rnacentral:rRNA from 1 species
GCAAGUCGAGCGGAAACGAUGGGAGCUUGCUCCCAGGCGUCGAGCGGCGGACGGGUGAGUAACGCGUAGGAAUCUACCCAGUAGUGGGGGAUAGCCCGGGGAAACUCGGAUUAAUACCGCAUACGCACUACGGGGGAAAGGCCGGGAUCUUCGGACCGGUCGAUAUUGGAGGAGCCUGCGUUGGAUUAGCGAGUGGGUAGGGGAAAGGCCUACCAAGGCGACGAUCCAUAGCUGGUCUGAGAGGAUGAGC